GCUAGAUGAGCUCUUUCUCAUGAUUCCCUCAAUUAGAGAGUUCAGGCAUGUUUCCACAAGGACAUCUAGAGUUAAUUCCUAUGCUCUUUGAACCUGUAACUGCUUGCUUGAGCCAUUCACUCAUUCCACAAGAAGACAUGGAUAGUUGUUGACUCUAGAAGCUUUAGAGUAUGAUGGGAGGAAGAAAUAAGGUGCUGUGACUUAUAUUCAAUUUGCAUCAAAUUAUCAUCAGUGCUGACAAGAUGGAGGCCUUACCUUCUGCAUGGAGUGCCAUUCUCAAGAUAAAAAUCAAAUAAUUCAUAAAACAUAAAAGGGCAUUUGAUUUAGAACAGGAUUGUAAUUUAAUGUUUCAAAGUGGUUGGUGAACUUUCUCCCUCUAGGUCAAACUUCCCACUUUUCCUAGAUGAUGAACAACAAAUAGAAUAAAAAGAAGCAUACUGAAGCAUUAAAAGAAUAA